rnacentral:rRNA from 1 species
GUAAGUGGCAAGCGUGUCCGGAAUUAUUGGGCGUAAAGCGCGCGCAGGGCGGUCCUUUAAGUCUGAUGUGAAAGCCCACGGCUCAACCGUGAGGGUCAUUGGAAACUGGGGGACUUGAGUACAGAAGAGGAAAGCGGAAUUCCAAGUGUAGCGGUGAAAUGCGUAGAGAUUUGGAGGAACACCAGUGGCGAAGGCGGCUUUCUGGUCUGUAACUGACGCUGAGGCGCGAAAGCGUGGGGAGCAAACAGGAUUAGAUACCCUGGUAGUCCACGCCGUAAACGAUGAGUGCUAAGUGUUAGGGGGUUUCCGCCCCUUAGUGCUGCAGCUAACGCAUUAAGCACUCCGCCUGGGGAGUACGGCCGCAAGGCUG